AGUGAACGCUGGCGGUAGGCCUAACACAUGCAAGUCGAACGGCAGCACAGUAAGAGCUUGCUCUUACGGGUGGCGAGUGGCGGACGGGUGAGGAAUACAUCGGAGUCUACUUUUUCGUGGGGGAUAACGUAGGGAAACUUACGCUAAUACCGCAUACGACCUACGGGUGAAAGCAGGGGAUCUUCGGACCUUGCGCGAUUGAAUGAGCCGAUGUCGGAUUAGCUAGUUGGCGAGGUAAAGGCCCACCAAGGCGACGAUCCGUAGCUGGUCUGAGAGGAUGAUCAGCCACACUGGAACUGAGACACGGUCCAGACUCCUACGGGAGGCAGCAGUGGGGAAUAUUGGACAAUGGGCGCAAGCCUGAUCCAGCCAUACCGCGUGGGUGAAGAAGGCCUUCGGGUUGUAAAGCCCUUUUGUUGGGAAAGAAAAGCAGCAGGUUAAUACCCCGCUGUUCUGACGGUACCCAAAGAAUAAGCACCGGCUAACUUCGUG
rnacentral:rRNA from 1 species